rnacentral:rRNA from 1 species
CCCUUAGAUGUUCUGGGCCGCACGCGCGCUACACUGAUGCAUUCAACGAGUCUAAAACCUGGUCUGAGAGGGCUGGGUAAUCUUUUGAAAGUGCAUCGUGAUUGGGAUAGAUGAUUGCAAUUCUUCAUCUUCAACGAGGAAUGCCUAGUAAACGCAAGUCAUCAGCUUGCAUUGAUUACGUCCCUGCCCUUUGUACACACCGCCCGUCGCUCCUACCGAUUGAACGAUCCGAUGAAAACUGUGGAUUGAGAGUCUGAGUGGGUUCGCCUACCUCAACUUUCGAGAAGCGGUUUAAAUCUUAUCGUUUAGAGGAAGGGGAAGUCGUAACA